rnacentral:rRNA from 1 species
GUGCCAGCCGCCGCGGUAAUACGGAGGGUGCAAGCGUUGUUCGGAAUCACUGGGCGUAAAGGGCGUGUAGGCGGCCGGCUAAGUCUGAUGUGAAAGCCCGGGGCUCACCCCCGGAAGGGCAUUGGAUACUGGCAGGCUCGAGUCCCGGAGAGGAGGGUGGAAUUCCUGGUGUAGCGGUGAAAUGCGUAGAUAUCAGGAGGAACACCGGUGGCGAAGGCGUCCCUCUGGACGGUGACUGACGCUGAGACGCGAAAGCGUGGGGAGCAAACAGGAUUAGAAACCCUCGUAGUCC